rnacentral:lncRNA from 1 species
UCUUUUACUCAUAUCUACUCAUUAAGGAGUGUCUUGUUUGAGUGCUUAGUGUUUUGUACACUUGAAGAGAAUUGUUAUUCUCUUGUUGUAAGAAGGAACAAGUGUUUCCUUGGUUGAAGUCUUGAAGUGUUGUAUCUCCGAGCAAAGAAGUUGAGGCUUGUGUCCUCAAGUUGUGAAGGAACUUGUGUUUCCUUUUGUUGAAGUCUUGGAGUGUUGUAUCUCCGAGCAAAGGUGUUGAGGCUUGUGUCCUCAAGUUGUAAAGGUUUGUUAAGCACCCGGAAGCUUGACAAGUN